UACGUAGGGGGCGAGCGUUGUCCGGAAUUACUGGGCGUAAAGGGUGCGUAGGCGGUUUUGUAAGUUGGAUGUGAAAUACCCGGGCUUAACUUGGGGGCUGCAUCCAAUACUGCAGGACUUGAGUGCAGGAGAGGAAAGCGGAAUUCCUAGUGUAGCGGUGAAAUGCGUAGAUAUUAGGAGGAACACCGGUGGCGAAGGCGGCUUUCUGGACUGUAACUGACGCUGAGGCACGAAAGCGUGGGGAGCAAACAGG
rnacentral:rRNA from 1 species